rnacentral:rRNA from 1 species
GAUGUGAAGCCUUCCGCUUAACGGGAGAAGCGCAUUUGAAACUGCUCGGCUAGAGUACGGGAGAGGAGAGUGGAAUUCCCGGUGUAGAGGUGAAAUUCGUAGAUAUCGGGAGGAACACCAGUGGCGAAGGCGGCUCUCUGGCCCGAUACUGACGCUGAGACGCGAAAGCUUGGGGAGCAAACAGGAUUAGAUACCCUGGUAGUCCACGCCGUAAACGAUGGGCACUAGGUGUAGGAGGUAUUGACCCCUGC